GGGUGCGAUCAUACCAGCACUAAAGCAUCGGAUACCAUCAAAACUCUGUAGUUAAGCGUGCUUGGGCAAGAGUAGUACUAGGAUAGGUGACCUCCUGGGAAGUACCUGUGUUUUACCCC
rnacentral:rRNA from 1 species